rnacentral:sRNA from 1 species
UAAGGAGGCGUGGCGGAGGGGGGAAGUGGAGGUUCUUUGAUCUCAGGGUUUUGGAGAAGGGUUUAGGAUAUAUGGCGCUUUUUUUUUUUUAUCGGGUUUCAUAGGGUGGAUGUGUCCGUGGUUGGAUUCCAAUUUUUUGGUUGAUUUAUGUUUUAACUACCAUAUGGCUCUGAGCCGUUUAAAGGUUGGGCGUCAUCUUUUCUAUUUUGUUUCUUAUCACAUGGCGAUCGUGUUCUUAGACUUGCGCACUUAACACCGCAUUGCGUUUCGGCAUAUUCAAUGAUUGAUGAAUAAGAGGAUGCGAGACUCGAUGGACCAUUCCUAAAAGAAAAUGACAUAAAUUAAUUGUAAUCUGUUGAAAUGGGAGACGUCUAAGCUCAGGCUCGCAAAGUAAAUCUAAGUACAAAAGGGCGGAGAAGUG